rnacentral:rRNA from 1 species
GCUCAGAUUGAACGCUGGCGGCAGGCCUAACACAUGCAAGUCGAACGGUAACAGGAAACAGCUUGCUGUUUCGCUGACGAGUGGCGGACGGGUGAGUAAUGUCUGGGAAACUGCCUGAUGGAGGGGGAUAACUACUGGAAACGGUAGCUAAUACCGCAUAACGUCGCAAGACCAAAGAGGGGGACCUUCGGGCCUCUUGCCAUCGGAUGUGCCCAGAUGGGAUUAGCUUGUUGGUGGGGUAACGGCUCACCAAGGCGACGAUCCCUAGCUGGUCUGAGAGGAUGACCAGCCACACUGGAACUGAGACACGGUCCAGACUCCUACGGGAGGCAGCAGUA